rnacentral:rRNA from 1 species
GACGAACGUUGGCGGCGUGCCUAACACAUGCAAGUCGAGCGGAGACAUUGGCUUCGGUCAAUGUUUUAGCGGCGGACGGGUGAGUAACGCGUGAGCAACCUUUCUCUCAGUGGGGAAUAACACAGGGAAACUUGUACUAAUACCGCAUGAGACCACAUUGUCGCAUGGCAGAGGGGUCAAAGAUUUAUCGCUGAGAGGUGGGCUCGCGUCUGAUUAGAUAGUUGGUGGGGUAACGGCCUACCAAGUCGACGAUCAGUAGCCGACCUGAGAGGGUGAUCGGCCACAUUGGGACUGAGACACGGCCCAAACUCCUACGGGAGGCAGCAGUGGGGAAUAUUGGGCAAUGGGGGAAACCCUGACCCAGCAACGCCGCGUGGAGGAAGAAGGUUUUCGGAUCGUAAACUCCUGUCCUCAGGGAAGAGCAGAAGACGGUACCUGAGGAGGAAGCCCCGGCUAACUACGUG